rnacentral:tRNA from 1 species
AGGAUUGUAAGCUCAGUGGUAGAGUGUCAGUUUUGAAGGCAGAAAGUCUGAGGUUCGAUCCUCAGCAUCUCCG